AACUAACGCUGGCGGCGUGCCUAACACAUGCAAGUCGUACGAGAAAGUUGGCUUCGGCCGAUGAGUAAAGUGGCGCACGGGUGAGUAAUGCGUGGAUAAUCUGCCCUUUAGUUGGGAAUAACGUACCGAAAGGUGCGCUAAUACCUGAUAAUACUGCAUAACUACUGUUGUGUAGUCAAAGAAGGCCUCUGUUUACAAGCUUUUGCUGAAGGAUGAGUCCGCGUACCAUUAGCUGGUUGGUGGGGUAAUGGCCUACCAAGGCUACGAUGGUUAGCUGGUCUGAGAGGAUGAUCAGCCACACUGGAACUGAGACACGGUCCAGACUCCUACGGGAGGCAGCAGUGAGGAAUAUUGCGCAAUGGGGGCAACCCUGACGCAGCAACGCCGCGUGAGUGAGGAAGGUUUUCGGACCGUAAAGCUCUGUCGAGCGGGAAGAAAUGUAUCAUGGCUAAUAUCCAUGAUACUUGACGGUACCGCUAAAGGAAGCACC
rnacentral:rRNA from 1 species